rnacentral:rRNA from 1 species
GACGAACGCUGGCGGCGUGCUUAACACAUGCAAGUCGAACGGAAAGGCCCUGCUUUUGUGGGGUGCUCGAGUGGCGAACGGGUGAGUAACACGUGAGUAACCUGCCCUUGACUUUGGGAUAACUUCAGGAAACUGGGGCUAAUACCGGAUAGGAGCUCCUGCUGCAUGGUGGGGGUUGGAAAGUUUCGGCGGUUGGGGAUGGACUCGCGGCUUAUCCGCUUGUUGGUGGGGUAGGGGCUUACCAAGGCUUUGACGGGUAGCCGGCCUGAGAGGGGUACCGGCCACAUUGGGACUGAGAUACGGCCCAGACUCCUACGGGAGGCAGCAGUGGGGAAUAUUGCACAAUGGGCGGAAGCCUGAUGCAGCAACGCCGCGUGCGGGAUGACGGCCUUCGGGUUGUAAACCGCUUUCGCCUGUGACGAAGCGUGAGUGACGGUAAUGGGUAAAGAAGCACCGGCUAACUACGUG